UACAGAGGGUGCAAACGUUGCUCGGAAUUAUUGGGCGUAAAGCGCGUGUAGGUGGUUCAUCAAGUCGGUUGUGAAAGCCCCUGGCUCAACCAGGGAAGUGCGGCCGAGACUGGUGGACUAGAGUCCUAGAGAGGGUGGCGGAAUGCGCAGUGUAGAGGUGAAAUUCGUAGAUAUUGCGUAGAACACCAGUGGCGAAGGCGGCCACCUGGAAAGCGACUGACACUGAGACGCGAAAGCGUGGGUAGCAAACAGG
rnacentral:rRNA from 1 species